rnacentral:tRNA from 1 species
GAGGGUAUAGCUCAGUGAUAGAGUGUGUGCUUAGCAUGCACGAGGUCCUGGGUUCCAUCCCCAGCACCUUCA